CAAUAGGCUAGCAAUAAUUUGAUUUAAUUUAUCUAUUUCUAAACACGUUCAAAACAUCUUAAAAGACGUGUAAUGCCUAUUAUAAAAAAAAAUCCUUCACAUGCGGAUAAUAAUGUUAUUAAAUUAGUUGUCAAAUUAUUGUUUUUUUAUUUUUUGUAACAAACGAUAUUAUCUAUACUAAGGGGAACUGAGGUGGGUUUAGCCUCACAAUGGGCUAGCAACAAUGUGAUUCAAUCAGUUGUUUAUUAAAUAUUAUUUUUCCUAUUUUAAACACAUUCAAAACAUCUUAAGAGGCGUAUAAUGCCGGUUAUAAAAAAAAAGUCUUUCGCACGUAGAUAAUAAUG
rnacentral:lncRNA from 1 species